AGAAGGAUUACACCAUCUGAAUGACUUGGCAUCUCUGGGAUUCCAUGUAUUUGAGACAAUAGUUAUGCCAGAAUGGCAGAAAGAAUAAUCCUUGGAUAAACCUGGCAGGUGAACCAGGUACGGGGAUGGAACUUAGGCAGGCAGACUUGGUAGCAAGCACCUUCGAUGUGCUUAGCCAUCUUGAUGAUAAUCCAAGGAUCUGCCAAGUGAGAUGAGUUACAAAACAUAUCUCUUCGAUGUUAAUCUGCUGUCAGCUCAGAUUGCCAGCUCUCCAAAUAAAGCCCCUGUUUAAAGAGUC